rnacentral:ncRNA from 2 species
GUGCGACAUUGCGAGGUGGGGUCCUCUCCCCACGCCAACCUGCCUUCCCGGGCAAGGUGGAAAGCUCUUCAUUGAGCGGAUGUGGCCGGCACGCGGUGCCGGCAAAGAAACGGGACACG